rnacentral:rRNA from 1 species
UACGGGGGGGGCAAGCGUUGUUCGGAAUUACUGGGCGUAAAGGGCUCGUAGGCGGCCAACUAAGUCAUACGUGAAAUCCCUCGGCUUAACCGGGGAACUGCAUCUGAUACUGGAUGGCUUGAGUUCGGGAGAGGGAUGCGGAAUUCCAGGUGUAGCGGUGAAAUGCGUAGAUAUCUGGAGGAACACCGGUGGCGAAGGCGGCAUCCUGGACCGAUAUUGACGCUGAUGCGCGAAAGCCAGGGGAGCAAACGGG